GCCCGGGUGGCGGAAUUGGUAUACGCGCAGGACUGAGGCUCCUGGCCAUUUUAUGGCGUGUGGGUUCAAGUCCCACCCCGGGCA
rnacentral:tRNA from 1 species